rnacentral:rRNA from 1 species
UACGGGGGGGCAAGCGUUGUUCGGAAUUACUGGCGUAAAGGGCUCGUAGGCGGCCAACUAAGUCGGAUGUGAAAUCCCCAGGCUUAACCUGGGAACUGCAUCCGAUACUGGAUGGCUUGAAUUCGGGAGAGGAUGCAGAAUUCCAGGUGUAGCGGGUGAAAUGCGUAGAUAUCUGGAGGAAUACCGGUGGCGAAGGCGGCAUCCUGGACCGGCAUUGACGCUGAGGAGCGAAAGCCAGGGGAGCAAACGGG